rnacentral:rRNA from 1 species
AAUAAACGCUGGUGGCGUGCUUUAUACAUGCAAGUCGAGCGGAGAUCAGCUUGAAGCAGAAGGUGAUUAAUUUACACUUUGUGUGAGUUAUGAACUUUCUGCCACGGUUGAUCUUAGCGGCGAACGGGUGAGUAACACGUGGAUAAUCUGCCCUUGAGACCGGGAUAACAUCUCGAAAGGGGUGCUAAUACCGGAAAAAUUACAGAAAGCAAUUUCGGUAACCAAAGUUGGAUUUUCAAAGUUCUUCGCUCAAGGAUGAGUCCGCGUCCUAUUAGCUAGUUGGUGAGGUAAAGGCUCACCAAGGCAAUGAUGGGUAGCCGGCCUGAGAGGGCGUACGGCCACACUGGGACUGAGACACGGCCCAGACUCCUACGGGAGGCAGCAGUAGGGAAUCUUCCGCAAUGGGCGAAAGCCUGACGGAGCGACGCCACGUGGAUGAUGAAGGCCUUCGGGUCGUAAAAUCCUGUCAGGGGGGACGAUGGUCGAUCUUCGGAUUGAUUGACGGUACCCUCAGAGGAAGCUCCGGCCAACUACGUGCCAGCAGCCGCGGUAAUACGUAGGGAGCAGGCGUUGUUCGGAUUUACUGGGCGUAAAGAGUGCGUAGGCGGUUAUAUAAGUCAAAGGUGAAAUCUUCACUUUCAAGGUGGAAACUGCCUCUGAUACUGUAUAACUAGAGGGCAAGAGGGGGAAAUGGAACUCUGGGAGUAGCGGUGAAAUGCGUAGAUAUCCAGAGGAACGCCGGUAGCGAAGGCGAUUUCCUGGCUUGCAUCUGACGCUGAGGCACUAAAGCUAGGGUAGCGAUCGGGAUUAGAGACCCCGGUAGUCCUAGCCCUAAACGAUGGGUACUAAGUGUGGGGGGAGCAUUACCCUCCGUGCUGAAGCUAACGCGUUAAGUACCCCGCCUGGGGAGACGGUCGCAAGACU